AGAGUUUGAUUCUGGCUCAGGAUGAACGCUGGCGGCGUGCCUAACACAUGCAAGUCGAACGGGGUUAAGUGAAAUUUCGGAUGGAUCUUAACUUAGUGGCGGACGGGUGAGUAACGCGUGGAUAACCUGCCUCACACAGGGGGAUAGCAGCUGGAAACGGCUGGUAAUACCGCAUAAGACCACGGCCCCGCAUGGGGCUGUAGUAAAAGAUUUAUCGGUGUGAGAUGGAUCCGCGUCUGAUUAGCCAGUUGGCGGGUAACGGCCCACCAAAGCGACGAUCAGUAGCCGGCCUGAGAGGGUGAACGGCCACAUUGGGACUGAGACACGGCCCAAACUCCUACGGGAGGCAGCAGUGGGGAAUAUUGCACAAUGGGCGCAAGCCUGAAUGCAGCAACGCCGCGUGAGUGAAGAAGUAUUUCGGGUUGUAAAGUUCUUUUAGUAGUGAAGAUGAUGACAGUAGCUACAGAAAAAGCACCGGCCAACUUCGUGCCAGCCGCCGC
rnacentral:rRNA from 1 species